UAAAUUGCAUAGAUCAAUGCUCGUAUAAGUCCGGGGAUAUGGCCCGGACGUCUCUACCCGGGAACCGUAAAUUCUCGGACUACGAGCCAGCGGUAACAGUGA
rnacentral:ncRNA from 2 species